AAAUGGGAACCAGGCCACUGAGAGACAGCAUCUCCUGGAAACAUGGGCACUGCCCUAUGGCCCUGUGUUGGCAGGAUGGCUUGAGGUGAAGCUGAGAAGAAGGAGAUGGGGCCCACAGAGGGCCUCUGCCCAGAGCUUCUGGCCACAUGGAUUUGGAGCCCGAUCCCACUUUUGUCCAAGGAUUGUACGUCCAAAUCCAGGCUGAGAUCCUCAGUUGAGCUACUGGGACUCAUCCACGGUAUUCAUUAAAUGCCCACGGGGAGCUCUGCCUGGCACUCUCCUGUUCCUGCAGCUUGCCAAGUCUGUCAAGCGAUUAACCACGUUCAUACUGAGUAAAUACAAGAAACUUGACUGAUUGCCACCUGGCCUGCCCACUUCCUCGGGGCCGUGAUGGUUGUAUCAAGUGUGUCCCCAGAGAAGAGGACACUGGGACAGAAUUAAGAAGCAGGUCACUGAAAUUGGACUCGCUGCCCUAGACUUGGCAUCUUCUCUAACUAAGCCUCUGAGGUCCCAGCAUGUCUAGAGGAUGAGCACACUCAAGACCCUGGGUGAAGAUAAGAGGAAAAGGGAUCUCAAACUCCUGAGUUUGUAUUGCUGUGUGCUGGGUUCCCAGAGCUGACUCGAGGGAACCCCAUCUUGAAACAGUAUGCUUGCUAACAGUCCAAGAAAUAACUUCCAGAGACAUGAGAAGAGGGGAAAGAGGGAAGAAAAAUUGGAUUGAAAUAACCUAUGAAAUGGAUCAUUAGACUUUGUUCAAUUAAGAACAGCUUUUUACCAGAGCGAGCAGGGGACAGUGCAGAGACCUCCCACCUGACAGGUGGCUAGGCUGGACUCUCCUUUGACAGAUGGUGCUCUGGUUUAUGCACAAAGAUGUCCGUCACAGCAUUCCUUGUCAUACUUCAUGUCUAAUGUUGGGGCCUGCUUCCAAGGUUAUGGAUCAGCCAUUUGAUGAAAUGUUAUAAAGCCAUUACAAUGACAUUGGCAAAGAAAUUCCAAAACAUGGGGAACGCCUCACGUUACAAUUAAGUGCAUAAAGGAGGCCUGUGAAUGGCGUGCGUGAAGACCUGUCGCUUUGUCAGCUGUGUCUGUGACACUUUUACUUCAUUUGGGGCAUCGUCCCCACAUGCAAGCAGACGGGACAGGAAAGGAGUUAAGGUCAAUACCAUGCCAUCCACCCCUAAGCUCUUCCUCCUGAUCUAAAAGCCAGGAUUGGAGACCCACCGAAAUAUUAAUAUAACACAUCAUUGCAGACAUUUUCUUCUUUGUUCCUCUGCAAAUGUUCUAAGACUUAAAAAAAAAAAAUUUUUUUUGUUCUCUUUAAAGUUUCCCUGGAAACUUCCAAAAGGCAGCUGCUGUGGUCGCACAUCAUCCCCUCUCUCCCUGCCCACCCCCCGCCAAUGUGUA